UACGUAGGUUCCGAGCGUUGUCCGGAUUUAUUGGGCGUAAAGCGAGCGCAGGCGGUUUGAUAAGUCUGAAGUUAAAGGCUGUGGCUCAACCAUAGUUCGCUUUGGAAACUGUCAAACUUGAGUGCAGAAGGGGAGAGUGGAAUUCCAUGUGUAGCGGUGAAAUGCGUAGAUAUAUGGAGGAACACCGGUGGCGAAAGCGGCUCUCUGGUCUGUAACUGACGCUGAGGCUCGAAAGCGUGGGGAGCGAACAGG
rnacentral:rRNA from 1 species